rnacentral:lncRNA from 1 species
CCUUCAUUUCAAAGAAAGGAUACCGCUUGUUUCUUUACUUCCUGCCAUUCCAUCACUAGGCCAAAUGACAUUGAUUUCAGGUUUUGCUUAUGGAAGCACUCUACUUCACAAUACAAAUUUCUUUAAAAGUGAAAACUAGUGUCUAAUGUAGGAAUGUCCUCUCCUCACCAAACAAUUAUUGAAUCAUUGUCAUGUGCCAGACUGGGAAUCUUAGAAAUUAGAGCUGAAAGAAUCUCUUUAAGCUUGUCUCCCUUAUCCCUUUUCAGGGCACAGUUUUUAACCUAGGGUUACAUUUCCAUUUUUCCAUCAAGGCCCCUUCUAAAUGCCUCUAAUUUCAUUUUGCAGUAACUCUUUUCAGGCAGUUUUUAGUCUCAAUGAACGUGGGAGGUGUGGUUGAUAGUCCUAUUAAAAGAAGUCUUUAAUUUGUCUAUAUGUAGACUGACUAUGUAAUUUCUCAUUAAAAUCAGGACACUUUAGUGAAAGGGGGUAUUAGUCAUAAUCACUCAGAGACAACAGGCAUAAACCAGGGUUAUUCCAGGCACAUGGUGACUCAACAGGCAGGCUGGCUUUACAGCUUCUAACAGCAGAACCCAGGCUUCCUCACAGAGGACCCCUGCCCUAAACUCGGAGGCAGGUCUUGGAGAGUCACAGGCUAAGACAGUCCACUUAGCAAAAUCACAGGAACCCCAAGUAUGCAGAUGAAGAAUAUAUAAUUUAAAUAAAAUAAAGAGACAAAAUGUUGCUUCAUUCACAACUGGAUAUCUCUGUAUUCUUUUCUAGAGUUACAGAAUGCUAGUGGCAUCUUCUUUACUAUUAUUUAUCCCCUCUUUCCUCUUUUUCUUUUUCCUCAUCUCUCUUUUCAAGCUCUGAGACACUCAGCAGUGCCUGUGUCUCUUGGUGGCCACAGCAAUCGGGGUUUACAAGUGUGGUCCUUCCCCAUCCCCAACAUCCUUCACUUCUGCAGCUGCCAGUGGCCUUCAGAAAGACACAUUGAAUCCCUUGUAGCUAUCGGAUGGGAGCCUCAGCGCUUGCCUUUCUCAUCUGAUUCUUCUAGAGCUACUGAGUCACAGCAUCAGUGCUGGGAUGCUUGAUGACAAAAGUCACUGCACCCCUGCCAACCACCCUGAAGCCUCGGAGGAAAUUUUCUUGAAGAUAGUGAGGGUCAGGGAGCAGGAAGGGGGUGAAAUCAACCCCAGAACUCCCGUCACCCACUUGCCACCACUUCCACGACUCUAUCCUUCCCAGCACUUGCCGGGAGCCUUGCCCCAGAAAAGAGAAAGGUACCAAAAUCUCUUCUCAAAAGCACCCAGAUACUGCCACAGGGUUUGUGUUAUUUUCCCCACAUUUUAAUUCUAUUUAGUUACUGUAUUCCACUUCAAAACAGGACAAAGAGGAGGAAGAGUAAAAGAAGAAAGGGAAGGUUGAGGUGCUCCUAGGGAAUAGUCUUGGGGUAAAGUAACACAGGGUGACAGCUAUUUUGAGGCAAAGGAGAGAAAGAGCAGGAGGCUAGGGAUAUGAUCAGGAUAAUGAAAUGUUGGUGACAAAAAGGUCCAGGAAUGUAGUCAAGUGUCAAAGGGCCCUUGAAGAAAAGAAUUCCCUUUACUCGCCACAAAUCUUUUUUUUUUAAGCCAGUUCUUAAAAACUGAAACAAAACUUUGUGUCUGUUGUCACAAUUUCUCUCCAGCGUGAAACAUGACAGUAUUUAAGCCUUCAUUGACACAUCCGGAGUGCCCCAAAGAGAAAGGGGUUAAUUGAAAAGGUUGCAAACCUUCCAGUACAUGGGACUUGAAACGGAUGUACAUGGGUGUUCAUGUGUAUGUGAGUGUGUUCCUUCCUGGGCUUCUCUUUCUAGAAGAUUUUGAUGGUGGCUGCACUGUAUCUUAACUGUCAAGCUAUUUUUUCCCUGCUAGCUUUCAUUUGUGUUUUUCCUCACCUUUCCGAGACCCUUACCUCUCCUCUCUUAAAUCUACUCACCACAGAGCAGACAUAAUCCCAGAUUUUCAGUAAAUCAACACUAUAUGCUCCCCACUGACUGAGAGAAUUUGAUACUGACAGACUGUUAUACCUAAAAGAAAAAUACUGCCAUGGUUCCUCACAUUCUUCGCCAGGAAAAGAAGGCAGGGAGGAGUGUGUGUGGGAUCCAUUAUAAAUUAGGCAACACAGAGCCCACUAUUCUUAACGUGUAUUUCAUGAAAGUGGAUGCAUAUGUUACCCUACCCUUGCCCACGUCUUUGACCAAACCAACCUCAGUACCUGGAGUAUUUCCAAACGCAAUUAACUCCCUUCAGUACCAGGGCACUGGUGAUUUAUUCGGACUACAGCAAGGGUAGAGUCCACUGCCCGAGAGAAUGCACGGCCCUCCACAUGGGAGAUCGAGGCUGAAAUGUGGGGACUUUGAACGCCACACGUUGCAAACUCUGGGCUCUGUCUUAUGAAGGCAUGUUCUGGCUGUGGGGUUGAAAGAGCGGUUUUCUUUUGUUAUUCAUCCCUGUGUCGAUGAUGGGCAUGGUGGCAGGAUUUAGACUUUGUGUUACCAGGUCAGAAUUACUGAGAGCAGAACUGUCUUCAAGGUUUCUGAGUCUAUCUCAGCUUUAAAUAUCAGAUCAUGAGCACAUGCAUAGAUUUAGAACUGACUGUUUUUAGGAGAUUAGGACUUCUACCCAUAUGUUCCAGGGCCUGGGGUUGGGAAUCCAGGUAACGACUAUCUAGGGACCACAGUAGGCAAAAAUGUCUGGGGUAAAGUAGUUGGCAGUCGUGGUCUUACAGUGAUCCAGUCAUCUCUCAGACCAGUGAGCAUGGAAGACCGAGUUAUUGCUUGGCAGACCUUGGAUGGAAGUGGCUACCAAGAGAUCAGGAGCUACUCAAGGGCAGGUGCCAUGCUUUCCCCAAGGAACAAACACCAGUCCCAGUAUACACUGUAAAGGUGUGUGCAGAACAGGGAGUGGGUUUUUAACAUCAAUUAUACUUCAGAAAGGAUGCAAAUAUAUGCCCCUCUUGGGAAUUCACAAGCCAUAUUCACUUAUUGAAGUCUAUGAGAAAUCCUUCUGAAAUAAAACCAAACUUCUUAUGUUUAUUUGGUCAAAGAACUUCCUCCUCCCUACCCCUUCAUAACACCUCUUAGGUGCUCACAGAAUUCUUCAGGAAGGGCUGACUUAUUCAUCUCUCUGUUUCUAGUGCCUGUCACCAUGACCAGCACCGAGAAAGUGGCAAUAUGAUCUGUUCCUUUAUCCCACACAUACGGAUUGGGCCCCAGGCAAUGUUCCAGGUCCUGGGGAUAUAGAAGUAAACUAAAUAGAUAGUUCCUGUCUAGUGAAUCUGAUGUUCUAGUCUGUUCCCUGUAAUCUCAGUUUGAUCAAUGAGGUUCAACAUCAACCCAAUCCCUUAAAGUCCCUUUAAGUGAACUCGAGCCAGCCCAAGCCAAGCAGGUGAACUGCUGGUGGACAUGACCCAGCAAAGGAGUCCCCAGCCACUCCUACAGGGUACUUCAGGCAGCAGACGACCCCGCUGCUAGGUGGCUUAUGGGGAUCCUGGGCAUCAUUGCAUUCAACUGCAUGAGCCCCCACAGCCUGCUGGUGUCUCUUCUGCUUUGCAGGGCGUCAUGCUUUUGUCUGUCAAUCCCAGCCCUGUGGCUGCCACAGCAUGUGAAUCUGAAGGAAAAUCACUCAUUUUCACUUUUUCUCAGUUUCCUAACAUAUAGCAAAUAGGGAUGAUUAAUAAUAUUCAUCUCCCAUUUCAUAUCCCCUUUGGGAGAUAGCAACCUCUCUGUAACACAUAAUAUAGUGCCUGGGCCCUCUGGGCAUUCAAGACUAUUUAAAUUAUUUCGUAAAAGCAAAUUUCAUUCCUUUUAUUUCCUCCUUUUCAGCCUCUAUAUGUAUUUUUUUUCCAUAGGCAAUGUUUCUCUUCUGGUUUUUGUUUUGUUUUCUGAGGGCAACGGCUGAUGAAAGGAAACAAUCACCCCAUCCUCUGUGAAGCUGAAAAUCCCCCAGUUUCUCCUUUGGUGCCCAGCGAUACCACUGAGUGUCAGCAUGCGUCUGUCUCCUUCACUCAUUUUCCAAGGACCCUCUCCAUGUUUUUAGUAAUUGAUUAGGGGCCCUGCAGAGGUCUCCUGCACCCCCUGUGGUCUGUUUCAUUUGUGAUGACCACACCUCCCUCACAACCCACUGAGAUGUCAAAAGCUGCUAUUCAGAGGCUGGCUGAUCCAUUGAAGUAGGUUUUGGCUGGGAAAAGUCCCCCUCACCUCUUCUCCCCGCCCCUCCCCACUGUCUGGAUCUUCCUGAGGUCCUCUGGAUCACCAGGAGCUUGGCAAGCAGGGAGCUCAAACUCAAAAGUGCUGGAACCACGGUGCAGGGUUUGUCUGGGCUCCCAGCCUCCUCACCCAGCACAUGGAACCUUGCUGGGAAAUAUUCAGCAUGUGCCUGUUACAGAUUAGUUCUUCUCUUCCUCAUGCUCCUUUUUUUGCCACACUGUUUAGGGAUGGAGGUUCUCCUCAGCCUCUGGAAUAAAGCCUAUUUGCUUAGUAUAAUUCUACCCUCUCCUGGCUUUAUGCUGGGUCCAAUCACAGAUUUUAAUCAAUAGCCACAAGUACCAGACUUUCUUAUCUCUUCAUUACUACUACAUAUCAGAACCCUAUUUGCUUGUGUUCUUGAGAAAGACAGAGAAAGCGAGAAAGAGAGAGAGAGAAAGCGAGAGAGAGAGAGUAUACUGACUCUGAGAUCUUGAGAAACUAGCCCAAUUAGAAGCUACCAUAAAUGGACUCUUAGGAGAAAGUUGUGCCUCUAAAAGUUCUAAGUAAGCUCUUCAAAGAUGCCAGACAAUCAGCAAAUGUGUGAUGACACAAAUGAGUAUGUGUAAAGCUGGUGAGACCUGCAAUUGACAUUGGGACAAUGUCCUGGUCCUACUAUAGUUACACAAGAUGUUACCAUUAGGGGAACCUGGGUGAACGGUCUAUAGGACCGUUCUAUAUUAUCAUUGCCAUUUCCUGCCAAUCUAUAAUUACUUCAAAAUAAAUAGUUUUAAAUAUUGCAUGGCGAGACUAAGCAAACAUUUUGCUCCAGAAAAGUAGUUUAAAAUUUGGGUGCUAUUUAUAGAUCCUGCCCACUUUUUAAUGACGAUAAGACUACAGCACCCAAGCUUUUCUCAAUAGACAACUUACUGCAGACCCACUAAGGUGGCAGGCACUGAGGAUGUAUAUUUAGCAUGGUUUUCACACAUGUUGCUGAGAGUGGACAUUGGAUGAAUGAUUGGAUGAAUUUAAAAAUAAAUGAAAUACCUUUCACAACAUCUGGAUGGCAGGGGAGUCAGAGUUGUCCUUUUUGCAGCAAAAUGGCUUAGUGGUUUGCAACAGAAGGUAGAACCUGAAUAUAUAGUGUGGUUGCUACAUUUGACUAUAAAAACAGGGCUUGGAGCAAUAAACCAACCAUGAUUAUAAUAAUAGUGACCGUGUCUUUCAGUGUUGGGGACCCUGAGAGUCAGUAUGGUUUAUCUCUAUAUCCCUACUCUAAAGAGCAGGUGACUACUUUCACAAUGAAAAGAGGGGAGCCACCAGAUCUUCUAUGUACAAAGCCUCUUUGAGCCUUUUUGAGCAUGUGGGUGUCCUUCAGAACUGAAGCAGACCUCCAAGGCCAGAUAUUUAAUACCUGAAAUGAAGUAAUUCCACUGGAGUAGAAUAAGAAACAUCAGCCUGGGAACAAUCAAGUUUCAAGAUGAACCAUCCAUGUGAACUCUUUCUGGAAUAUUAGUUCUAUACUACCUAUGCCCUCAUCCUCCCUCCAGAUGGUGGACAGCCUUGCCUGCCCUAGCCAGGCUUAGCUACUCAAUCUGCCCCAGGCUGGAAAAACCUCUGCUCAUUUUUGACAAAGUUGAGAGGAACUAGGCACAGUGGGCAGAAAGUAACAAUCUCCCCUGUGCACAGAAAUUAAAUAUGGCUGAUAGCCCUGCACAAUCUCAUUAAAUCAUUCAAUAUCUGUUACAGGGAAGAACAGUUAAGAUAGAACAGAAUGGUGGAAACUACGGUCUUCUCUAGGCAAAGCCUUAGUGCAAUGAAAGACUUUCUGUUAGAGCUCUCACCAAAGAGAAUGAGCUGUUGCCUGAGGAGGAGUGUGUCUCCAUCCCUAGAGGCAUCCCUACAGAAGCUGGGUGGUCAUUUAAAUGACGUAGGAUGGAAGGGAUUGAUGCUCAGGUUAGAGACUUGAGUUCAAUAGAUGGUCUGUCCCAACCUUCUAGAUUCUCAAUGCACACACUUCAUCCAAGGACAAAAUGGACUCCUGAGAAAGGUGUGAGACCCAGGCAGAGAUGGGCAGCCUGUGAAACAGGCAACAGAUGCUCACCUUGUCAUCUCUAUCUCUGUCUCCCCACCAGAGCUCAGGACAAUGGCCCCCAGGAGCCACUGGAUGUUCCAUUUUAGUCCUGGCUUGUACGGAGUGCGCCCUCUUUCUGAGAGGAGGUGAGAGGGAAGGGAUGGAAAGGGCCAGGCUCCCUGCAUGCUCCCAGGGACUGCAAUUCUCUCCCAGUAGGCAGGAGGAUGGGCAAUUACACAUACAGAGGGGUGUCUGGUCAAAAGAACCAACAAAAUCCCAUGGCUUAACAAAAGCCUUCAAAAUCUUCUCUGGGAAAGAAUUCCAGGCUCUCCCAAAUUGUAACUCAUUGUAUCACGAACACUUACUUUGGAAAUCAUGUCAGAUUCUAAAUUUGAAGAACACUUCUAAUAUCUGAGCACCUACCUACUGGGUGCCCAGGGUAGUGCUUGGCGGUUUUACAUCUUUGGCACAGAGAUAGGCAUACAUGUCUUAUUGUCUAACAGUAGUAAUUUUUUUUGCAGACUUUGAUUCUAUUAUAACAGCUCCAGUAUUGUGCAAUAACUGCCGUCACUCCAGUGGAAGCAUUGUUCCUGGUCUGUGACUUUUAUUUCACGAGUAGAUAAAGAUUUAAGAGGGAAAUGACUGAGAAACUUGUGUUUGGAUUAAUGUAAAUAAGACACAAGGUUUUCAUGCCCUUCUGCUUUCACUGGGGACUCAUUUCCCUAAAUUGAAUAGCCAGUGGACAGAAACAUUGAGUUUGGUCCACUGCAGACCCUAAGUCAAGGGGUGCAGACAUGCCCUCUAGUCCACCAUGAGGCUAAAGCAUGUCACAUGGCAAGCCAACAUCAAUGCGGGUGAGAGAAGCAUAAUCUUAUUAGAGACAAGGGAGAAAGAGAGUGAAUAUAUUUGAAAAAUCAAAACCAAGGAUUGGCACACUUUUUCUGUAAAUGGCCAGAUAGUAAAUAUUUUAGGCCUUGUGAAAUAUAUGACUGCUGUCCCAACUAUUUAACGCUGCCAUUAUAACUCAAAAGCAGCCAUAGACCAUACACAAAUGAAUGGGCAUGGCUGUGUUAUAUUGCAAUGACACUUUAUUUGCCCACAGGCUGUAGUAUACUGACUCUGAUCUAAACUGCCCCAGUUCCCCAUCUGGCUUCUUCACAUAUAGAAGAGGCUUUGGCAUUAGAAGGUUGUGUCUUCUAAUAUCAGGUGAGCCCCAAAGAUAACAAAACAACAGAAAUAUUAGAUUCUUUAGUAAUUUUACCAUUGACAACUAUUUAUCUAAAAGUUUCCUUCAAAUUGGUAUGUUCCACCAUUGAAGGUGAGGUUCAUAAGCUGAAAUAUUUCACCUUAUUAUCUGUUGAUAGGUCACACAGUGCAAGAUUGCACCAUGCUUUUGUGGGCAAAUAACACACUGCCCACAAAAUAAGCCACAAAUUUCCUCCUUCCCUCUGUGGGAAAUAUGCAUGAGGAAUUCUGCAAGAUUUCUCUUUCUAUGUGUUACAAUUGCAAAUAGAGGGAGGCUGCAACUUUUUCCUAUAGGCCAUGAGACAUAGAGCUUUCUAAGCUUAGCUUGGGGCAACACUCACAAAAAUAUAAAGGAGGUAAAGUCUCUGGAUGUCUGUUGUGCUUCAUGCCUGCCUUGGUGGCUGAAGCAGGUAUAGCCUAAGCUGCCUAAGUCCCUUGUGGACAUGAAGCAGUGGCCUCCCUAUGUAAAGACUGCCCGCUAUAUUAGUCCAUUUUCUUACUGCUAUGAAGAAAUGCCCAAGACUGGGUAAUUUUUAAAGAAAAAUAGGUUUAAUGGACUCACAGUUCCAUGUGGCUGGGGAGGCCUCACAAUUGUGUCAGAAGGUGAAGGAGGAGCAAGGGCAUGUCUUACAUGGCAGCAGGCAAGACAGCAUGUGCAGAAGAACUGUGCUUUAUAAAACCAUCACAUCUUGUGAGACUUAUUCACUAUCAUGAGAACAGCGUGGGAAAAACCCGCCCCCAUGGUUCAAUUACCUCCCAUGGGGUCCCUCCCACAACACAUGGGGAUUAUGGGAGCUACAGUUCAAGAUGAGAUUUGGGUAGGGACACAGCCAAACCAAAUCACCCCCAACUCCUAUGGGUGCAGCAGAGGCAUAUUGCUCUUAUUAAGAAUUUCUAGCACAUUUCCCAUGGGAAUGGGAAGGAGUGCCAGAAAUCCAGAAAUGCUUGUCUUAUGGAAAGACCCUUGUCAGAAACCUUAAGAGUCCUCCAGGGUUUAGUUCACUUCAGCCUGAUAAACACUGAACAUCUACUGUGUGUCCAGCAUGGGGCUAAUAAAAUAAAAAUGGCCACCAGGUCCUUCAUGUGGCCCGUUGACUGUAAUGGCAGCCCAUUAUUGGGGCCCAUCAGAGGUGCUCAGGCAGCCUCUUUACAUUAAUCUUACUAAUUGUUUGACUUUCUUGAGCAUUUAUUUAUGGAAUAUUAAGGAUUUUUUUGUAGCAGCUGAUUAAAAGAUUGCUAUUACUGAAGAAAAACAUGAAUUAAAAACAAAAGCUGCUGGUAGCUUUUAUCCAUCAUCAAGGAAUUAACCAAUUGGCAACAAGCAGGACAGCUCAAUUUCUUUAGAUAUCUGAGGCCUACAUAGCUUAAUUGGGGAAGUAUGUUAAAAGGAAUGGAGUGACAUUCAUUAUGGAUUAAGUUAAUACAUUUCUGACCCAUCACAUGGCUUAAUUUAACAAAUUCCACAUCUUACUGUUUGGCAGGAAAUGGCAUCUUAUGAACAUCAUUACCAGUCAUUCUGACUUGAGUCAGUGGAAAAGCCUGACUCCAUCUGAAAACCGUUAAUCUUAAUAAUACUGUGCCUUGUCUUGGCAGAAGUCUCCAUAUGCUUGGGAAGCCUAGGACUUGCUCCAUACUCUAACUUAGCCUCCCUGCCUUCCCUCUCCUCCGUAACAAUCAAAGUGAGAAAGGGAGGAACAGCAUCUCCACCUUCCAGUUAAACUCGUCUGGACUGGAGCAGUGUUAUUCACUGCUGGGAAAACCAGAUACCUCCUGCUAUGAUUACCAUUCGAUUUUAAAUAUAAAUAAUUAAAUUAUGAUAUGUACAUGUUUCUAUGUCAUUAGAUCAAUUAUAGUAUCUUUUCAUGUAAAAAGGGAAAAUGAGAAAUUUGGUGAAAAAUACCACAAAUCACUGUUUUUUUAUUAUUGACCAUCUACCAUGAACCAUAGAAUCUACAUGAUCAUCUCAUUUACUCUUCUAAAUAACUGUGCAAGAUUGAUACUGCUACCCUGAAUUUGCUUAUGCGGAAAUUGUUUCAAUAAAGUUACAUAAUUUUCCCUGAUGGAAGCAGGUUUCCAACCAAAUCACUUACAUAGGUAGUACUUGGUUAAGUCGUCUCUUAAGUACUUGGUUAUUAUUGAGAAGGGAUUCUCCCAAAUUUCCUCCUUCCCCCUGUGGGAAAUAUGCAUGAGGAAUUCUGCAAGAUUUCUCUUUCUAUGUGUUACAAUUGCAAAUAGAGGCAGGCUGCAACUUUUUCCUAUAGGCCAUGAGACAUAGAGCCUUCUAAGCUUAGCUUGGGGCAACACUCACAAAAAUAUAAAGGAGGUAGAGUUAGCCUACGUUUCAGCGUCUCCUACUCUCCCUUAAUUACCCAUAUCCAACAAUGCUACAUGAAAAACACCACAAAAUCUUAGUGGCAGCAAUGGUAAGCAUUUAUUUCUUAUUCACUUAUCUACAGCUAUCUUGGAUUGCUCCACUCUAGGCAGAGGGUGUAGGUUUUAGGCGCUACUGAAGUGAGCACCUAAGCUCACCGAGCUCACUGAGCUGUAGGCCCUGCUGUGGAUCAGCAGAUUGACUAGAUUUUGCUAAUCUCAGCUUGUCUUGGGUAGGUUUCAGGUCUGCCCUAUUCUGGGGCCAAUGGGGUAUUUAUACUAAUAGAGAGGCACUAAGUCACAAGACAGAUGAGAAAAAGGAGGCAGUGCUCUUAAGGGUCAGAACAGAUGCACUAUCCCCUCUACCCAUAUCUGUGGCCAAAUCAAGUCACAUGGCCAAGCCCAUCUUCUAUGGAGGUGAGAAGCGGGAGUAAAUACUUCUUAAAACUGAUCUAGCCUACAACAUUCUUUGCUUAACAAAGGGCUUAUUAAAAUAAUUUAUACUAAGGUAUAAAUAACUGAUAAAGAUUGGUGUUUCAUUCCCUUUAGUACCAUUUAUACCACAACAGGGGCAGUGAGCUUUCACUUAAACAAGAAGUAGGGUGCUAACUGCGUAAUUUUAGAUGUUAAUGAAGCUAGUGAGUAGAAUUUAGGGAGAAGGAAUAUAUGAUUAGAAUUCAUUGAACUGCAAAUAAAAGAAUACCCUUCCAAAUCUGGCUUGAGCCAGGGAUUGGAAAACUAAGGUCCAUGGCCAAUACCUGUUUUUGUAAACUAAGAUUUAUUGAAAUAGAAAGAGCCACACCCAUAUAUUUAUAUACUGUCUAUGGUUGAGUUUGCAUAAAAUGGCAGACUUGAGCAAUGACUAUGAGGACCCUGUGGUGAAAAGACCUAAGAUAUUUACUAUCUGGCCUAUUAAGAAAAUGCUUACUAACCCAUAGCUUAAACUAUAACAAGAAGUCCAAAGGCAAGCACUCUCAGUCCUGCCUCUUGGUUUUGCAACUCCACAAUGCCAUCAAGGAUCCAGGCUCUUUCUAUCACUGCACUUACUCAUCCUUUUUGUGUUCGUUUUUCAUCCUCAUGCUUGUAGCCUCAUGGUUGCAAUAUGGAUGCCAUAGCUCCAGAGAUCACAUUUUGUGUUUAAGAAAGAGAAAGAGGUGGUGCCAGAUAAUUCUUCUCUUGUGCCUAUCCUUUUAACAAGAAAGCAAAAGUUUUUCUAGAAGUCUCCCCCAGGAGACUUUCUCUUAAACUUCAUUAAAAAGUAUCAUAAGGCCAUUAGUCACAGGGGAAUCUGGAAAAGUGAUUAUAUCACAAGGGAAAAAUCAAUUUCCAUGUUUGGCCUAAGCCAAACAUGAUCCAAUGUCUUGGGCCAAACAUAUCACUGACCUAAGAAGGAAAAUUACAGUUCUAUGGGCAAUGAAGAAGGGGAGAAUGGAGCUCUGCCACAGGAAUGCUGGGAAUAACCUAUAAAAUAUAGUCUGUGAAGAGGUGCCUUCUGCCAUGAUUGUAGGUUUCCUGAGGCCUGCCCAGCAAUGAGGAACUGUGAGUCAAUUAAUUCUCUUUCCUUUAUAAACUACCCAGUAUCAGGCAGUUCUCUAUAGCAGCAUGAGAAUGCUACUAUCAAGAUCCUGGAAGUUACAAUUAUAAGUGACUGCACCUACUCCAGGUCCUGGAAUUUACAAUUAUAAGUGACUGCACCUCUGCCAUUGCUAAAGUUAAUCCUUUACUACCAGGCUCCUCUGGUCAGGCAGCUAAAUGCAUUAAUUAAGCAUCAUGUGCUUUGUUUCAGGAGAGGGUCACUGACAGAUUUAUCACUUCCUUUGAUUCACUUUCACCAGUUUUUCCUUCUUUUUUCUUCAAAAGCUAUAGUCUGCGAUGGACCUUUUUCGGGGGGGGUGGGGCAGGGUACUUCAAAGACAUACAUUCUUCUGGUGGAAUAUACUGUUUCAUGCCUCAGACUCCUACGACGCCCUUUGCUUCAGUCCUAUAGGGAAGCCAUUCAGAGCCUUCAUGAACCCAACAUUGGCGUUUUCUUUUCACAUCUUUCUUGUCCCUGAAUUUCUCUGGAACAAAUUCAGCUCUUCCCCUGCCCUGUUUCUGUAGAAACUCUCACUUACACUUUUCCUCCUUCUGUUUAUCCCAGUUUCAAGCCUUCUCCUCCUUCUUGCAGCAGGUUCUGGACUUCUGAUUGGAAUCUUGGAUUCAAGAAAAUAUCCUUUAGAAGGCAACACCAAGCGCCCUUUGACCUUCAGUGGCUUGGCACCACCAACCACUUCCUCAUCAUGUAUCUUCUGUCUCUGCCUUGUGUAGAGAAUGGUCCUCUCCCUCCCUUCCUUGCCUCUUCUCUUUUCUUUUUUUCUUUUUCUUCUCCUUCUCUGCAUUUUUCCUUCCUCUUUCUUUUCCUCCCUUUCUCUGCUUUUUCUUCCCUUGCCUUCCUCCUUUCCUUCCAAAGGUGGGGUUCUUUCAAGUUAAGUAAGUUUUUUCACAGCCAGAAAAUGGUCAGACCAGGAUUUGAACACCAAACAGAGAGACUCAAAGGCCUUUCCUUUUCUAAUUUUGAAAGGAACUGAUACAUUAAUUAUGACAUGAAUCACUGAUAAACAAUUGAACAUGAUACAUAUUCCCAGAGAAAAUCACAGCACCUUUCUAGGCCUCAUUUUCCUCGUAGGUAAAGCAGAAGGGGUUAGUUCAAGCUAAUAGGAACUUCCAGUUUCAUUCAAACCUAUAGGCAUCAUAAUUAAAUGUGAGCCUCAGUGUCUUCAUUUUAGUACAAGGAUAUAAACUGCCUCCUAAGUUUUGAGUGAUAAUUAAAUUAGAGAAUGUACAUAAGACCCUGCAUGGUUUAUUCAAACAUAACAAGAAUAGGAUAAGAGGUAGUUGCCAUUAAGUACUGUGAAACUUAAAGCUAAGCACUGUGCUAGGUACUUAAACCUUCAACACUUCAUUUAGACUAGCAAGAGAGAAGGGGCUACUCACAGCUUUAUUUAUAUUCUAAUAACUAAUAUCUCUUAACCCCCUAAAAUAUUCUUAUAACAUGCCUUGUAGCAUAAGUAACUGAAGGCAAAGAGGAUAUUUUGGGGCCAGAAUCUUCCCAUGCCUCACAAAUAAUGCUUAUAGAUAGUUACCAAAGGGACCCUGCUCAUAAUAUCCUUUACUGGAAAAACAUCCAAGGUUGGAGCAUUUCCACAAAUAGGACCAGGAAAAUUCCCAUGGUGCCGAGGCACUUGUUUCCAGGGGGUUAGUGGGUCAACUGCGGCUCCCUAUUCCCAGUGGAAAAGUGCAAGUUAUCCCACAGGCCACAGGGCCAAAGGAGAGUUGAUGUGGUGUGUGGGAAAGAACACAGGGUUGGAUGGGGAGACCUGGAUUCUCUUCCCCGGCCCCGCCCCAGCCUGGUGGGAUCCUGGGUAAAUCAUUCCACCUGCCUGGAGAGAUGAGUCAUUCACAGUCUCAUUGUGCACCAGAAUCACCUGGGAAAUUACAAAUAAAUACCAAUGCCUGGGCUUCUCCCCAGAGUUUCUGAUUCAAUUACUCUCAAGUGGGGCAUCAGCAUUUUUCAGAAGCGUACCAGGUGAUUCUAACAUGCAGCCAGAGUGGAAAUCAUUUGGUUACACAAUAGUUCCAUCCUCUUCUAGGUUAGUCUGUUAUUCUGUACAUAGGCUUGAACACUAAACCUGGGCCGAGAUGCUCUGUUGUAAUGGAAUGUUCUUUUUCAUAAACCACUUGCCAUCUUUUCUUUUUUGGUGGAAGAAUGGUAUUGAUUUGUGCAUCUGACAAAUCACUAUCAUGUGCCUACUAUGUGCAAGGUGCUUGGAGAUGCCAGCCAACAGCUUGAUGCAUGCAGGCACAAUUGCCUCGAAGAGCAAAAGUCUCUCCUCAUCAAAUUCCCUUUAUCCUCUGGGAGAUGGUCAGAAGCUCAGAGCACUUUUCCAUCUGGAAAAGUCACUGGGGAGAUCGCCUUUGCUGCUGUAGCAGAUGAGGAACUUGGCUGACCUCCCUCUCUACUGAUAAAUGCCCAGAGACUGGGUGAGAACCAUCUUUCUUUGCAUCCCCCGGCUUUACGCUUUCCAUUCCCAGUC